AAAGAUUAAGCCAUGCAUGUCUAAGUAUAAGCAAUCUAUACGGUGAAACUGCGAAUGGCUCAUUAAAUCAGUUAUCGUUUAUUUGAUAGUACCUUACUACUUGGAUAACCGUGGUAAUUCUAGAGCUAAUACAUGCUAAAAACCUCGACUUCGGAAGGGGUGUAUUUAUUAGAUAAAAAACCAAUGCCCUCCGGGGCUCCUUGGUGAUUCAUGAUAACUUAACGAAUCGCAUGGCCUUGUGCCGGCGAUGGUUCAUUCAAAUUUCUGCCCUAUCAACUUUCGAUGGUAUGGUCUUGGCUUACCAUGGUUU
rnacentral:rRNA from 1 species